AUACUUACCUGGACGGGGUUGACGGCUGAUCAAGAAGGGCCGUGGCCUAGAUCAAUGGCUCACAAUGCACUUGGUGAGUGCGUUGAUCUACCAUCUUCCCAAGUGGAAGAAUGGAUGUCAUAAUUUAUGGUAGAGGGGGUACGCGUUCGCGCGGCCCCUGC
rnacentral:snRNA from 1 species